GUUACAGGCUAGAAGCAGCAACACC
rnacentral:piRNA from 1 species